rnacentral:rRNA from 1 species
GAUGAACGCUGGCGGCGUGCUUAAUACAUGCAAGUCGAACGGAGAAUGUAGCAAUACGUUCUUAGUGGCGAACGGGUGAGUAACGCGUUGGUGACCUGCCCCGAAGAGAGGGAUACCAGUUCGAAAGGACUGCUAAUACCCCAUGUGGUCAUAGAGGUUAGACACUUUAUGAUUAAACGGAGAAUUUCGCUUCGGGAGGGGCCUGCGUACCAUCAGCUAGUUGGUGAGGUAAUGGCUCACCAAGGCUAUGACGGUUAGGGGACCUGAGAGGGUGGCCCCCCACAAUGGAACUGAAACACGGUCCAUACACCUACGGGAGGCUG